UUGGCCUGAACUUAAGAUGGAGGC
rnacentral:piRNA from 1 species